rnacentral:rRNA from 1 species
GUGUCAGCCGCCGCGGUAAUACAGAGGGGGCGAGCGUUAUUCGGAAUUAUUGGGCGUAAAGGGCGCGUAGGCGGCCGAGCAAGUCUUGGGUGAAAUCCCUCGGCUCAACCGAGGAACUGCCUUGGAAACUGCUCUGGCUUGAGGCCGGGAGAGGGUGGUGGAAUUCCCAGUGUAGCGGUGAAAUGCGUAGAUAUUGGGAGGAACACCAGUGGCGAAGGCGGCCACCUGGACCGGUCCUGACGCUGAGGCGCGAAAGCGUGGGGAGCAAACAGGAUUAGAUACCCCCGUAGUCC